rnacentral:tRNA from 1 species
AGGCCCGUAGCUCAACUGGUAGAGCAACAGACUCUUAAUCUGUGGGUUGGGGGUUCGAGACCCUCCGGGCCUACUA